rnacentral:rRNA from 1 species
GACGAAGCCCUGGGUCGCAAACGGGAUUAGAUACCCCGGUAGUCCAGGGUGUAAACGCUGCAGACUUGGUGUUGGGGGCCCUACGUGGGCGUUCAGUGCCGGAGAGAAGUUGUUAAGUCUGCUACUUGGGGAGUACGUCCGCAAGGAUGAAACUUAAAGGAAUUGGCGGGGGAGCACCGCAACGGGAGGAGCGUGCGGUUUAAUUGGAUUCAACACCGGAAAACUCACCAGCGGCGACUGUUACAUGAAAGUCAGGCCGAUGACCUUACUAGAUUUUCAGAGAGGUGGUGCAUGGCCGUCGUCAGUUCGUACCGUAAGGCGUUCUCUUAAGUGAGAUAACGAACGAGACCCUC